CAUAAUGGUCACCUCUUCAAAAAAAUCAUGAGUGAGAGAUUGUUGCUAACAGCACUGAAGGGUGGUAAUAACACUAAGAUCAUUACUUUGAAUGGGAAGAAGAUGAAAAAAAUGCCCUCAGCACUAGAAAAGCUGCCUGGUCUGAGGACUCUAGACCUUCAAAAUAAUCUCAUCUGCAAUGUGUGCCCAGAGCUAAGCACCUUGACCCAGUUGACAUUACUAAAUCUGGGAAACAACCAAUUAGAAGAAGUUCCCGAAGAGAUGAAACACCUUACAUCCCUGAAGAAGCUUCAUUUAUUUGGAAACAGGAUUCAUAGAUUUGCUACUGGAGUCUGUGGUGGCUUACAAGAGUUGAUUCUGCUUAAUCUGAAUUACAAUCUACUUAAGAGUCUUCCUGAAGAAAUUGGCAGGCUGAAGAAUCUUACCUACCUAAGCAUCAAUCAUAACCAGCUCACCAUGAUCCCUACAGAGCUUUGCUCCCUUGUGCAUCUUUCUGCAUUGCAUCUUAACUACAAUCAGCUCACGUGCAUCCCUGAAGAGAUUAAGCUCUUGCAGAAUCUUCGGCAGCUUUUUCUGGUCAGGAAUAACAUUGAAUUUUUGCCAGAGGGACUUUGUCAUCUUAAAAAACUAAGAAUCUUGGACAUAGCUGGAAAUGUUAUUCAGAUAUUUCCAGCAGGCUUUCAGAAUCUAAAGCUGAGGGAGUUCUACUGUGAGGGAAAUCCACUCUUCCUGAUGCGGCCAAUUACUGCUAGACAACCUAAAGACAUCUGGACUCUACGGGAAAUAGCAGCAAGAUUUGUCCUCUGUCAGUUAGAAGAAAACAAUGAUUUGAUUGUGAAUGCAAUAGAGUCUUAUCCAGAGACCAAAGACAAACUCUCCAAGGCAAAAAAAUGUGCAUUGUGCAGCAAACCCUUUUUAUCCGAAUGGCUGGAAUGUGUCCAGUUUGUUCCCCCAUCAAAGAACUGGAAGAUAAGCAGAAACCUACAUCUGAUACCUCUCCGGAUAUUACUUUGUUCCUACCACUGCUUCGACCAGCGUGGUCCUAAAGUCUUCGGAAUUGUUCCAGAGUAGAGCAGAUCAGUGGUUCUUAAAGUGUGAUUUGCACUCAACACCAUCUGGCCAAUUCUCUGGCUCUACCGUAGGACCACUGACCCGGAAACUGAGGAAGACUUUCCUGUCAGUCCAUAUCUGAAGUGGAAGACAAUCAGAGAAUCUUUUGAUGUCUAUAGCUGUUCACUGGACAUUCAGGGAAGAGAUGGCCCAUAUGGGUGGUAUACAAUACUGAACAUUAAACUACCUUUAGUCACUGGAACUUUCAAAUAAAUAUUAUUAGUCUUAAUGAA